AGUGAACGCUGGCGGUAGGCCUAACACAUGCAAGUCGAACGGCAGCACAGGAGAGCUUGCUCUCUGGGUGGCGAGUGGCGGACGGGUGAGGAAUACAUCGGAAUCUACUCUGUCGUGGGGGAUAACGUAGGGAAACUUACGCUAAUACCGCAUACGACCUACGGGUGAAAGCAGGGGACCUUCGGGCCUUGCGCGAUUGAAUGAGCCGAUGUCGGAUUAGCUAGUUGGCGGGGUAAAGGCCCACCAAGGCGACGAUCCGUAGCUGGUCUGAGAGGAUGAUCAGCCACGAUGGAACGGAGACACGGUCCAGACUCCUACGGGAGGCAGCAGUGGGGAAUAUUGGACAAUGGGCGCAAGCCUGAUCCAGCCAUACCGCGUGGGUGAAGAAGGCCUUCGGGUUGUAAAGCCCUUUUGUUGGGAAAGAAAUCCAGCUGGCUAAUACCCGGUUGGGAUGACGGUACCCAAAGAAUAAGCACCGGCUAACUUCGUGCCAGCAGCCGCCGCAG
rnacentral:rRNA from 1 species